rnacentral:lncRNA from 1 species
AUUCUGACCCUGUGCUCAUUGGCCCUUACAAUUUAAUCUGAACAAUGGAACCAGAGACAUCAGCACUGUCCAGGCUCUCUCAUGAUCUUCAACCUUCGCCAGUGGCAUUUCAUGAAAUAAAUACAGAGUUUUCUGAGGAAAGUAUAAUAUACUCAGACCUCAAAGUUCAUUGUUCUUCAAAUAUCCAGAACGGAAAAAUAACUAAAACUUUGAAAACAAAAGUUCAUUGUCUUAAAGAGAUCCUGAAUAAGGCAACCAUUGAGACUGCACAUUGCAACAUAAUAUCACAAAACAAAGGUAAUUGGUCUUCCUUUGAAGAAAACUGACAUUUUAUAUCUACUGAAAAUAAAAUCUUGGCAUCAAGGAAAUUUGUUCUGAAGCAUUGAGCUCCAGUCCCAUCAAGACCAAUAAUGAAGAAUUGGAAGUGUAUAAUGUGGUAUUCAUUCUUACAUUUUCUUACACAUCAGAUAAUUAUCAAUAGAGAAUUUUUAACAUAUUGUGUUCACUUAAGCAUGCUAAACUCAACAUUUUAUAAAUUGGAGACAUCUCAAUCAAACUCAAAAGAUUAAAAUAUGACCUUAAAAUGAUUUUAGAUUUUAAAUAUAUUUGCAUACAGAAGUAAAUGCAAAUAUAAGAAAUUUCAAAUGUUGGCUAACAAUGGGGGAAAACAUCACAUAGACACAGAAACUAAAGGGAAUCUGGUCACAAGUGGCAACUAAAAAAGAGCUAAUAUUUGUUGAUUGCUUCAAAUAUUCCUGGUACUACAUCAAUGAUUGUGGGCAUUAACUCACGUGUUUUCCCAUUAAUCUUAUGAUACAAGUAUUACCACUGCCAUUGUUGUAUUAAUAAGAAAACCAAGACCCAGAGAGAAUGAUACUUUUUUUCUGGGUAUCAGAAAUAGUAAGAAUUAGAAGCUUAAACUAUGAUUUAAGCUAAAAGAGUCUAACUCUAAAGAUCAGGAACAUAGUCAUUAUGCUUUGCUGAUCCCAGAACAAAAAAUCAUAAUGAAUCAAAUUGUAAGAAUAUUGCUUCUUUGUAAAUAGUCAGAGCUGCUUAUACAAGCAGAUUUACGUUUUUCUACCCUGCAUGUAUCUUCUAAAGAGGAACAGUGAGAAAAAGAAUAAUAGCUCUUCAUAAGGACUAUUUUGAUACUAAUUAUUGUUUGGAAUGUGAAUAAAAGACAUUAACAGCAGUAAUGUUUCCCGCAGUAGAUCCUAGCAAGCCUAAAGAAUAUAGAUGUCUUUUAUAUUUUAGUUCUCCUCUACUAUGUGACUAUUACUUCUAUAUUAUUUCUUCUUUUUCAUUGUAUUGAAGUUCUGUUAUUGCCUUUAAUAAAGACUUCAAUUCAGAUCAAUGAUGGUAAAUUUAUGGCAUAUAUGCUGAAAAUUUCCAUACAGUAUUCUUAGAAGGUGCUCUUCAUAAUUGCAACAUCCUUCCCUACUGAGCCAGACUUCACUUUGAAUAACUUUCAACAGAGCACACCAGAAAGUCUCUUCCAAUUGCAUUACUCUCAUCUCAUCUACAUACGGUGCUUCAAAGUGAACUUGUAUAUACACAUCAGCAAUGAGCUCUUUCAGCAAGAGCAAACAAAAAAUGCAC